CCUACGGGUGGCUGCAGUAGGGAAUAUUGCUCAAUGGGCGAAACCCUGAAGCAGCAACGCCGCGUGGAGGAUGAAGGUUUUCGGAUUGUAAACUCCUUUUGUUGGAGAAGAUAAUGACGUUAUCUAACGAAUAAGCACCGGCUAACUCCGUGCCAGCAGCCGCGGUAAUACGGAGGGUGCACGCGUUACUCGGAAUCACUGGGCGUAAAGAGCGCGGAGGCGGGAUAGCAAGUCAGAUGUGAAAUCCUAGGGCUUAACCAUAGAACUGCAUUUGAUACUGGUAUUCUAGAGUAUAGGAGAGGUAGGUAGAAUUCUUGGUGUAGGGGUAAAAUCCGUAGAGAUCAAGAGGAAUACUCAUGGCGAAGGCGACCUGCUAGAACAUAACUGACGCUGAGGCGCGAAAGCGUGGGGAGCAAACAGGAUUAGAUACCCUUGUAGUC
rnacentral:rRNA from 1 species